rnacentral:rRNA from 1 species
GACGAACGCUGGCGGCGUGCCUAACACAUGCAAGUCGAACGGAGAUAUUUUUCGGCAUAUCUUAGUGGCGCACGGCUGAGUAACGCGUGGGUAACCUGCCCUUCUAACGGGGAUAACUUGCCGAAAGGUGAGCUAAUACCGGAUCACCUAUUGAGAUUGCAUGCUCUUGAUCGCAAAGGUGGCCUCUUUAACUGCUACCGUAUCAGGAUGGACCCGGGUCUGAUUAGCUGGUGUGUGAGGUAACGGCUCACCAAGGCGACGAUCAGUAGCCGGCCUGAGAGGGUGAACGGCCACACUGGGACUGAGACACGGCCCAGACUCCUACGGGAGGCAGCAGUGGGGAAUCUUCCGCAAUGGACGAAAGUCUGACGGAGCAACGCCGCGUGAGUGACGAAGGUUUUCGGAUUGUAAAACUCUGUCUUUUGGGACGAACGGCAUAUGUGUGAAUAAUUCGUAUGAUUGACGGUACCAAAGGAGGAAGCCCCGGCUAACUACGUGCCAGCCGCCGCAGUAACAC